AUUUUCUGUCUUGUUCUUGAGCUUAAGUAAAUUAUUUACUUUAAUUUAAAGUAAAUCUAAGUUUUGUUGGUUUAAUUUAAACUAUUUGCUACACAUCAAAUCAAUAAUUUUGCGUUCUGUGUAAACCACGUGACCACUGACGUAAUCGUGGUUGGGUUUGAGAAUUUUACGAUCGACGGCCAUCUUGUUUCCCCUCACAUCCAGACUGCGGCUGACAGCAGUUCCACAAUAUCGGGUCAUGCGUGAGGACGUUCAGCAUUCUUGUUAAACCGCAUGGAUGAACUCGGCGUGGUAAAACGUGAAUAAAGAAAAUUGGACGGGGUACUGCUGAACAACAAUUAGGACAGGUUUUGAAUAAUCCAGCCACAUGAAAAACAUUAAUGCAGAAUUUUUUCGCAUCACGACCUUACCUCUACAAUCAAGAUUUAUGGCCUCUUUGGACAGACAGACAGCUCUCAGCUUCUCCAGGUUAUUAGGAGCAAAGGUGGAGCCCUCCGUGAGAAAACUAAGGACACUAUUAAAGUUAUGGAUCAGAGUUUGGACAUAGACAUCAGAAGAGAGUGCCUGCUGAAGUGCCUGAUCACAUACCUUGGUGAAGAUGCAAGCUGUCUGAUCAAAGAAUACCAGGCUGACCAGAGGGAGGAAGCAGAGAGAGAA